UACGGGGGGAGCAAGCGUUGUUCGGAAUUACUGGGCGUAAAGGGCUCGUAGGCGGCCAACUAAGUCGGACGUGAAAUCCCUCAGCUUAACUGGGGAACUGCGUCCGAUACUGGAUGGCUUGGAUUUGGGAGAGGGAUGCGGAAUUCCAGGUGUAGCGGUGAAAUGCGUAGAUAUUGGGAGGAACACCAGUAGCGAAGGCGGCUCGCUGGGCCAUUCCUGACGCUGAGACGCGAAAGCUAGGGGAGCGAACAGG
rnacentral:rRNA from 1 species